rnacentral:rRNA from 1 species
GAUGAACGCUAGCGGCAGGCCUAAUACAUGCAAGUCGAACGGUGUCUUCGGACAUAGUGGCGCACGGGUGCGUAACACGUAUGCAACCUACCUUACAUUGGGGGAUAGCCUUUCGAAAGGGAGAUUAAUACCGCAUAAGACAGUAGCUGGGCAUCCAGCAGCUGUUAAAGAUUUAUCGAUGUAAGCUGGGCAUGCGUCCAAUUAGCUAGUUGGUGAGGUAACGGCUCACCAAGGCAAUGAUUGGUAGGGGAACUGAGAGGUCAAUCCCCCACACUGGCACUGAGAUACGGGCCAGACUCCUAUGGGAGGCAGCAGUAGGGAAUAUUGGGCAAUGGACGCAAGUCUGACCCAGCCAUGCCGCGUGCAGGAUGAAGGCGUUAUGCGUUGUAAACCGCUUUUAUACAGGAAGAAACGACUCUUGCGAGAGGCAUUGACGGUACUGUAUGAAUAAGCACCGGCUAACUCCGUGCCAGCCGCCGCCGUAAGAC